rnacentral:pre_miRNA from 1 species
AAAGUACUCCCUCCAUCCCAAAAUUCUUGUCUUAGAUUUGUCUAGAUACGGAUGUAUCAAGUCACAUUUUAGUAUUAGAUACAUCCGUAUCUAGACAAAUCUAAGACAAGAAAUUUGGGACAGAGGGACUAGUUG